CCCAAAUCCCAGGAUCCGGCGUCAAGCCCGGCUGAUCCCGUGGGAAAUCCACAGGGCUGGCUCCUCAUCCGGAGCCAUCCGGCCGCAAUCCUGCUCCAGGGGCUUCCCGGAGCCCGGCACGAGGCGGCUCCAAUUCCAUCUGGGCUCGGCACAUCCCGACGCCGGCGUCGUAAAAGGCGUUCCGGCACGGAACACAAAAUGGCUGGCUCCCAGGGCGAGCAUUCCCAAGGAACGCCAGGAAAAGGAUAAUAACCUAAAAAGGAAUCCCCAGGACGGCCAGCUCCGUGCAGGAAUUCUGAGGCAGAUCUCCCAGACCUGGAUCUCCUGAUUCCGGAUCUCCCAGACCCUGGAUCUCCUGGAUUCCAGAUCUCCCAGACCUGGAUCUCCCGGAUUCCAGAUUGCCACCCCCAGCUCGGGAUGUCCUCAGAUUCUGCAGCUCCGGGUCAAGUACAAAACGAACAAUGGGAAGCAGGAAAAGCGGGAAAGGAGGAAAAUCCUCCCUCCCAAGAAGUGCUUCCCUUCCCUCCUAAGUUUGUGUUCUUGUCCAACUCCAUUCCUUGGGAGCAGGGAAUGCCGGGGCCACGGCCUCACACCUCGUCCCACCCCAGGAUUUUUGGGAUGUGGGAGGAGAGCAGGAAUUCCAGAAGCUGCUUUACGCCCUGAAACGAGGGGCAAAAGACCCCAAAACCCCACAAAGUCUUAAACGAGAGCUAAAAAAUUGCAGGCCAUCCAGCUGGGACGGCCCGUUUUGGGGAAAACCAGCUGGAAAACGCUCCGGGAAAAUGAAAUGCAAUAAAAAAAAGGAUGGGAUGGAAGGGGGGGCAGGGAGAGGCCGGCCCCGGCCCCCUCCCCAUCCGGGAUGACGCAGACUUCCCAGGCUCCCUUAUAUAACGCUUCCCCAUUUCCUCGACUGCGGGCGCUGCCUUUGUGCGGCUCCGCCGGGGCCAUCGAUCACCAAUUAAUGAUCCAAUCGAUAAUUCAAUCCAUCACCACCGGGAAGUGUGGGGCGGGGGGGCGAUAGGGAUCCGAGGGGUUUCCUUAUUCCCGGUGUUUCUGUCGCCCCUCCAGCCGGAGGGAGGUGGGAUUGGAGCAUGGUGGGAGCAUGGAUGAGGUGGGGAAUGGGGGAGGGAAGGGAGAAGGGAAUCACGACAGCAAAUCCCAGCACCAGCGCUCGUUUUCUCCUCAAAACACUCCCUCGAGACAUUCCCAAAAAAUAAAACAACGCUAAAAAAACCAACAAAAAAAAAAAAAAAGCGCAGCAAAGCAGCUCGGCUCAUCCUGAAGGAACCCUUUUGUCCGCUCCGAAUUGCCGACAAACCCCGGCACGGUCCGAGGGGUACUUACAGCUCCAAGCCUGCCGCUGCCUCGAGGUGCCAGGAAAAGCGGGGAGCAG